GACGAACGCUGGCGGCGUGCCUAACACAUGCAAGUCGAACGGACGAGGUCGAAGCUUGCUUCGACCGAGUUAGUGGCGGACGGGCGAGUAACGCGUGAGCAACCUGCCCUUCAGUGGGGAAUAACGAUUGGAAACGGUCGCUAAUACCGCAUAACAUACAACCGCGGCAUCGCGGAUGUAUCAAAGGAGCAAUUCGCUGAAGGAUGGGCUCGCGUCCGAUUAGCUAGUUGGUGGGGUAACGGCCCACCAAGGCGACGAUCGGUAGCCGAACUGAGAGGUUGAUCGGCCGCAUUGGGACUGAGACACGGCCCAGACUCCUACGGGAGGCAGCAGUGGGGGAUAUUGCACAAUGGGGGAAACCCUGAUGCAGCAACGCCGCGUGAGGGAAGAAGGUCUUCGGAUUGUAAACCUAAGUUGUCAGGGACGAACAAAUGACGGUACCUGAAAAGAAAGCUCCGGCUAACUACGUGCCAGCAGCCGCGG
rnacentral:rRNA from 1 species